rnacentral:snRNA from 1 species
GCAGCACAUAUACUAAAAUUGGAACAAUACAGAGAUUAGCAUGGCCCCUACACUAGGAUGGCAUGCAAAUUCAUGAAGCGUUCCAUAUUUUU